AUGAUGAGGCAGGAAGCAAGCUACAUCUUGGAGAAAUUGCCCUCAGGAGAGAGGAAAAACUAUUGCGAGGUUGACAGCACAACCUUGUACCGGCACAGUUUCCCUUCCCCAGUGGUUCAAGGAGUUCCAAGCACCCUCCUGUAAAUCAUCAGCUCACAUCUAUUUAUUAUCUUCCAGCCCAGUGCACAACACUAUCUGUUACACACGGAUACCAGCAAUAUUGCAAGGUGGACUCAAGGGAUAAAAGACAGCAAACCCUGCACACCUCCUAUGCCUGAGUCACACCCACUAUAAAGCCAGGCUCUGUUCAUAAAGUGCAUGCUGUUGUCAGAAAUGAAACAAUAUGAACUGUUCCAGUUCAGAGUAGAGUUUAUGUAGUGUUUCUCCAAUAUGCUUGAUCUUAUCAUCUUGAUAGCUUUGUGUUAUUAUACAGAGACAAAAUUUAUCUACAUAGUAAUGGACAAAAUGUCUAUGAAAAUACUGCUAUUCAUUUAGUGAUUGUUGUUAUAUUUGGACUAGGCGCCAGCCUCACUCUGUGAUGCUUGUCCUGGAAUAUCAAUAAAUAAAUCAUAAAAGCCAAUGCUUCAAAUAUUGAAAAAUUCGCACUUCAAACUGUGUUUUGAACUAUACUGAGAGCAAUGCCUCAGAUUGUCCUUUUGCUUUAUAUGAACAGAGGAAAUUCAAAGUAGGAGGAAGUCUCUCCCGGGAUUUGGCAUAGGGGAGUGCCACAAACCAUCAGCCUUCCUGUCUCUGCUGUGCCAACGAAGCCUCUCCUGGGAUGUACCACAAGAAGCAGACAGUGUGUCUGGGGAGUUAAUGUGGCUUCAGAUGAAAUUAUCUCCUGCAGAAUCCAUCUUGCCUGUUGUGUGAGUGCAUGCAAAGGAGACAGGCAGUGGUGAGGAGCCAGGCCACAGCCGGGCAGGUGAAGCCUCAGAGAAAAGUAGAAGCAUCUUCCUACGACUCUGUGAAGUUCUUUGCACCACAGACUUGUGCUGCUGGUGAAAAUGGGACAUCACGCCUCUUUUUUCUCCUUCUGUCUGGAGCCCAAAUUUGUUCUUUAUAGCAAAAAAUACUUGGUGUGAAAUCUUGUUUCUACAAGGGUCAGUGAUAAAAUCUGCAUCAGUGACAG
rnacentral:lncRNA from 1 species